ensembl:lncRNA
GCGUGGCCAACCAUCCACCAUCUGGCACGUGGUUCCCUUGGAGCACUGGAUCUCACUGCAGCUGGGCUGGUCAUGGACACACUGGAGAUGUCCAUCCACCAUCUUACACGUAGUUCCCUUGGGACAAUGGAGGUCACUGCAGGAAGGCUGCCUUGGAGAUACUUUGAGUUGGACACACCGUGGCCAACCAUCCACCAUCUGGCACGUGGUUCCUUUCUGGCACUGGAUGUCACUGCAGGUAGGUUGAUUUUGGACACACUGGGGAUGUCCAUCCAUCAUCUUACAGGUUGUUCCUUUUGGACAGUGGAUGUCACUGCAGGAAGGCUUCCUUGGAGAUACCUUGAGUUGGAUGCAGCGUGGCCAACCAUCCACCAUCUGGCACGUGGUUCCUUUCUGGCACUGGAUGUCACUGCAGCUGGGCUGGUCAUGGACACAGUGGGGAUGUCCAUCCAUCAUCUUACACGUGGUUCCCUUCGGACAAUGGAGGUCACUGCAGGAAGGCUUCCUUGGAGAUACCUUGAGUUGGAUGCAGCGUGGCCAUCC